CUCAGAGCUCAUGUGGGCAAAGCGCUGCAGUCUUUGCCUAAAAACCCUUAUUUCUUCCUUUUUCCAUCUGGAUUUCUUAGAUAUUAUGGUAAUGUUAACUCGAAACAUGAUGGGGCAAUACAUGAAACUGAACNNNNNNGCGAAAGAUUACUUAGACCGUUUGACCUCAAAGAGCUUCGAAAGUCUUUUAAUCAAAUCAC
rnacentral:misc_RNA from 1 species